CGAAUAACAAAAGACCUUGCGCGUUUUCGAUUUGGGUUUUUUUCUUCUCUUGAACACUGUGCUUUUUUUAUUAAUAUUGAAUGUAAAACAAUACAUUUGAUUUCAUGGCUUUUAUAAUCGAAGAAAAUACAAUAUUUUUUGCUUGUUUUGUUUUUUUCUUUCUGUGUUUGUCCUUUGUCUUAUCUGUAGGUACGAAGGCCAUGCUGGC
rnacentral:lncRNA from 1 species